rnacentral:rRNA from 1 species
AAUACCAAGGCGCUUGAGAGAACUCGGGUGAAGGAACUAGGCAAAAUGGUGCCGUAACUUCGGGAGAAGGCACGCUGAUGUGUAGGUGAAGCCCCUGCGGGCGGAGCUGAAAUCAGUCGAAGAUACCAGCUGGCUGCAACUGUUUAUUAAAAACACAGCACUGUGCAAACACGAAAGUGGACGUAUACGGUGUGACGCCUGCCCGGUGCCGGAAGGUUAAUUGAUGGGGUUAGCUGUAAGGCGAAGCUCUUGAUCGAAGCCCCGGUAAACGGCGGCCGUAACUAUAACGGUCCUAAGGUAGCGAAAUUCCUUGUCGGGUAAGUUCCGACCUGCACGAAUGGCGUAAUGAUGGCCAGGCUGUCUCCACCCGAGACUCAGUGAAAUUGAACUCGCUGUGAAGAUGCAGUGUACCCGCGGCAAGACGGAAAGACCCCGUGAACCUUUACUAUAGCUUGACACUGAACACUGGUCCUUGAUGUGUAGGAUAGGUGGGAGGCUUUGAAGCGUGGACGCCAGUCUGCGUGGAGCCGCCCUUGAAAUACCACCCUUUAAUGGCUGGUGUUCUAACGUAGACCCGUAAUCCGGGUUGCGGACAGUGUCUGGUGGGUAGUUUGACUGGGGCGGUCUCCUCCCAAAGAGUAACGGAGGAGCACGAAGGUUGGCUAAUCCUGGUCGGACAUCAGGAGGUUAGUGCAAUGGCAUAAGCCAGCUUGACUGCGAGCGUGACGGCGCGAGCAGGUGCGAAAGCAGGUCAUAGUGAUCCGGUGGUUCUGAAUGGAAGGGCCAUCGCUCAACGGAUAAAAGGUACUCCGGGGAUAACAGGCUGAUACCGCCCAAGAGUUCAUAUCGACGGCGGUGUUUGGCACCUCGAUGUCGGCUCAUCACAUCCUGGGGCUGAAGUAGGUCCCAAGGGUAUGGCUGUUCGCCAUUUAAAGUGGUACGCGAGCUGGGUUUAGAACGUCGUGAGACAGUUCGGUCCCUAUCUGCCGUGGGCGCUGGAGAAUUGAGGGGGGCUGCUCCUAGUACGAGAGGACCGGAGUGGACGCAUCACUGGUGUUCGGGUUGUCAUGCCAAUGGCACUGCCCGGUAGCUAAAUGCGGAAGAGAUAAGUGCUGAAAGCAUCUAAGCACGAAACUUGCCCCGAGAUGAGUUCUCCCUGAGACUUUAAGUCUCCUGAAGGAACGUUGAAGACGACGACGUUGAUAGGUCGGGUGUGUAAGCGCAGCGAUGCGUUGAGCUAACCGAUACUAAUGAACCGUGAGGCUUAACCUU